rnacentral:rRNA from 1 species
AACGAACGCUGGCGGCGCGUCUUAAACAUGCAAGUCAAACGGGUAGCAAUACCAGUGGCGAACGGGUGAGUAAUACAUGGAUAACCUACCUUUAAGUUGGGAAUAACACAGAGAAAUUUGUGCUAAUACCGAAUGUGACGGUUCAGCAAAGGCUGGAUUGGUUAAAGCAGCAAUGCGCUUAGAGAUGGGUCCAUGGCUGAUUAGCUAGUUGGUGGGGUAAAGGCCCACCAAGGCGACGAUCAGUAGCCGGCCUGAGAGGGUGAACGGCCACAAUGGAACUGAGACACGGUCCAUACUCCUACGGGAGGCAGCAGUUAAGAAUCUUGCUCAAUGGGCGAAAGCCUGAAGCAGCGACGCCGCGUGAACGAUGAAGGUCUUCGGAUUGUAAAGUUCAGUAAGUAGGGACGAAAAAAAUGACGGUACCUACCUAAAGCACCGGCUAACUACGUGCCAGCCGCCGCCGUAACAC